rnacentral:rRNA from 1 species
UACGAAGGUGGCAAGCGUUACUCGGAAUUACUAGGCGUAAAGGGCAGGUAGGUGGUUUGAUAAGUCUGUUGUGAAAGCUCCUGGCUUAACUGGGAGAGGUCAACAGAAACUAUCAGGCUUGAGUAUAGGAGAGGGUACUGGAAUUCCCGGUGUAGCGGUGAAAUGCGUAGAGAUCGGGAGGAAGGCCGGUGGCGAAGGCGGCGCUCUGGAACAUUUCUGACGCUGAGGCUCGAAAGCGUGGGGAGCAAACAGG